UGCACACAAUCUUGGGUGACAGAUUGAGAC
rnacentral:piRNA from 1 species